UACGGAGGAUGCAAGCGUUAUCCGGAAUUAUUGGGCGUAAAGCGUCCGCAGGUGGCACUUCAAGUCUGUCGUCAAAGACCGGGGCUUAACCCUGGAAAGGCGAUGGAAACUGAAAGGCUAGAGAGAGGUAGGGGUAGAGGGAAUUCCCAGUGUAGCGGUGAAAUGCGUAGAGAUUGGGAAGAACACCAGUGGCGAAGACGGCUCACUGGACCGGUACUGACGCUGAUGCGCGAAAGCGUGGGGAGCAAACAGG
rnacentral:rRNA from 1 species